rnacentral:rRNA from 1 species
UACGUAGGGGGCAAGCGUUGUCCGGAAUCAUUGGGCGUAAAGCGCGCGCAGGUGGUUUCUUAAGUCUGAUGUGAAAGCCCACGGCUCAACCGUGGAGGGUCAUUGGAAACUGGGGAACUUGAGUGCAGGAGAGAAGAGUGGAAUUCCACGUGUAGCGGUGAAAUGCGUAGAGAUGUGGAGGAACACCAGUGGCGAAGGCGACUCUUUGGCCUGUAACUGACACUGAGGCGCGAAAGCGUGGGGAGCAAACAGG